UAGCACCGUACAUCCCAGGGACGUCCGUUUCAUGUCCAGAUUAUGUCCGAACGUCCAACGUUCAUUUUGAACAUCCUUGGGAUGUCCACAAGACGUAUAUUUCGUAUGUCCUAGGAACGUCCGUCUUGAAGGUCCUACGGACAUAGAUGAGACGUAUGUCCAAAAUAGGGUAGAAUGACCCGUACGUCACCCGCGCGGCGAGAACGACCGAAGUUUGGGGCCUGCUGUUUUAUGACAAGGCCUAAACAGAAAACAGAUCCCGGGCGCUGACAAACGAUUGGCGGAAUUCCCAACUUGAGAAUAUGACGAGCCACCAUCGACACUUUUUCGUGAAACGCUGUUGCGACAAGACGUAUAGCGAGUCUCCAUACACUUUGAGUGUGAAUUUCAAGCGUUGACGAUCGUCAUAUUACGAGUGAAUAUUAGUAUUCCUUACUGGUGUUUAUAGUGUGUUGACGAGUUUUUCUGCCAUCUCAGGUAAUAAUGCCUUCUUUGAGACGACAACACAUAUGUUAUUCGUAUACGAUGCAUACCGAUUUCUUAUUCUUCUUUAUGAAAUGGUUGUGCGUACAAUUCUAUGUAUAUAUAUAUAUAUAUAUAUGAAAAACGUAUAGUCGGUAUCCAUCAUAUAUUAUUUUUUAUAUUUAUUUGUAUCGAAUUGAAUAUAUUAUUCAACUGAAUUUCUGUUAUUUAGACGCAGCACAAACAUCAAAAGUGUGCAAAGAUAAGAAAGAAACGGAGGUGUCCAUACCGUCUUGGCUAAGGAGAGCUGCGGAACGCAACAAGAUCAUUGUAAAAGAUUUUUAGUAGAAAUAAUAAAAUAAAUAAUAGAUAUGUAAUAAAAA